AUGAGCCCAAGCGUGCUCUGCUGCAUAGCCCUUUGUCUCCUAGGGGCAGACUAUUUUGAUGCCAAAGUUAUCCAGACUCCAAGACAUCUGGUCAAGGGCAAAGGACAGAAGGCCAGCAUGAUCUGUAGCCCUAAACAGGGGCAUGACACUAUUUUCUGGUAUCAACAGAGCCAGAACAAAACAAUGAAAUUUUUGAUUUACUUUCUGAGUGGAAAACUUAUGGAACAAAUAGACAUGGUCAAGGAGCGAUUCUCAGCUGAAUGUCCCUCAAAUUCGCCUUGCAGCCUGGAAAUCAGGUCCUCUGAACAGGGAGACUCGGCGCUGUACUUCUGUGCGAGCAGGUUGUCCACAGCGCUGAAGUGUGCACUCCUGCCCGUACACAAACCCGCUGUGGACAGGACUCGGGCAGCGGGCGGGGCGAGAGGUUGGAUGAAAGUAACAGAAAUCAGCGGGCACUAG